GACGAACCGUGCGAACGUUGUUCGGAAUCACUGGGCGUAAAGCGCACGUAGGCGGAUUUUUAAGUCAGGGGUGAAAUCCCGAGGCUCAACCUCGGAACUGCCUUUGAUACUGAGGAUCUGGAGUCCGGGAGAGGUGAGCGGAACUGCGAGUGUAGAGGUGAAAUUCGUAGAUAUUCGCAAGAACACCAGUGGCGAAGGCGGCUCACUGGCCCGGAACUGACGCUGAGGUGCGAAAGCGUGGGGAGCAAACAGG
rnacentral:rRNA from 1 species